GGACGAACGCUGGCGGCGUGCCUAAUACAUGCAAGUCGAACGGUCUUUCUAUGGAAGCUUGCUUCCACUGAGAAGAUAGUGGCGAACGGGUGAGUAACACGUGGGUAACCUGCCCAUAAGAGGGGGAUAACAUCCGGAAACGGGUGCUAAUACCGCAUAGUUUUCUGAUCGCAUGAUUGAGAAAGGAAGACGGCCUUUGUGCUGUCGCUUAUGGAUGGACCCGCGGCGUAUUAGUUAGUUGGUGAGGUAACGGCUCACCAAGACGAUGAUACGUAGCCGACCUGAGAGGGUGAUCGGCCACAUUGGGACUGAGACACGGCCCAAACUCCUACGGGAGGCAGCAGUAGGGAAUCUUCCGCAAUGGACGAAAGUCUGACGGAGCAACGCCGCGUGAGUGAAGAAAGGUUUUCGGAUCGUAAAACUCUGUUGUCAGAGAAGAACAAGUUGGAGAGUAACUGCUCCAGCCUUGACGGUAUCUGACCAGAAAGCCACGGCUAACUACGUGCCAGCCGCUGC
rnacentral:rRNA from 1 species